GACGUCGAAUAUCGACGUCAUAAACACCAAAGUUGAUCGUGUUUAUGAUGUCGAAUAUCGACGUCAUAAACACCAAAGUUGAUCGUGUUUAUGACGUCGAAUAUCGACGUCAUAAACACCAAAGUUGAUCGUGUUUAUGACGUCGAAUAUCGACGUC